GAGGGCAAUGGGAUGGACUGGGAGGCACUGGGGGGGCUUUGGGAUGAGGUGGGAGGGCAAUGGGAUGGAUUGGGAGCAGUCUGGGGGGCACUGGGAGAUACUGGGGGGGCUUUGGGAUGAGCUGGGAUGGCAAUGGGAUGGACUGGGAGGCACUGGGAUGGACUGGAGGGAUACUGGGAUGAGCUGGGAGGGCAAUGGGAUGGACUGGGAGGCACUGGGAUGGACUGGGAGGGCACUGGGAUGGACUGGGAGGCUCUGGGGGGGGCACUGGGAUGGACUGGGAGGGCACUGGGAUGGACUGGGAGGGCACUGGGAUGGACUGGGAGGGCACUGGGAUGGACUGGGAUGGACUGGGAGGCUCUGGGGGGGGCACUGGGAUGGACUGGGAUGGCACUGGGAUGGACUGGGAGGCUCUGGGGGGAACUGGGAUGGACUGGGAGGGCACUGGGAUGGACUGGGAGGCUGUGGGGGGGCACUGGGAUGGACUGGGAGGGCAGUGGGAUGGUCUGGGAGGCUGUGGGGGGGCACUGGGAUGGACUGGGAGGCUGUGGGGGGGGCACUGGGAUGGACUGGGAUGGACUGGGAUGGACUGGGAGGCUCUGGGGGGGCACUGGGAUGGACUGGGAUGGCACUGGGAUGGACUGGGAGGCUCUGGGGGGGCACUGGGAUGGACUGGGAGGCAGUGGGGGGGGGCGCUGGGAUGGACUGGGAGGGCACUGGGAUGGACUGGGAGGCUCUGAGCACCACCGCUAUUACAGAUCCAUCUGCGGGGCUCCCAUUGGGGCAGCUGAGGGGGGGGGGGGGGGGGGGAUUCCAUGAGCUGAGCCCCCCCCCACCAACCUCAACCUCUGUGCCCCCCCCCCGCCCCCCACAGGGCUUUCGUGUUCCGCCCGCAGAGCCCGGAGCUGAAGGAGCGCGGCGGCAGUCAGACGUGCGGCAUCGACUUCUUCAUCACGCAGGAGCGCGUGGUCUUCCUCGACACGCAGGUUGGGGGGGGGGGGGGGCACACAUAAACACCUUCAACCCCCCCCCUUUAACGCUUAGGACCCCCCCCUGGUACCCCAUGACCCACAUUGUACCCCCCCAGACCCCACAUUGUAACCCCCCCAGGUAGAGGGGGGGGGACCCACAAAGACCUUUUUCCCCCUCCUUAACACUUAGGACCCCCCCCGGUACCCCCAGACCCACUUUGUAACCCCCCAGGUUGGGGGGGGGGGGCACACAUAAACACCUUCAACCCCCCCCCCCUUUAACGCUUAGGACCCCCCCGGUACCCAUGACCCACUUUGUAACCCCCCCAGGUGUGUGUAUGGGGGGGGGCAGCACAAAGAUCCUCCCCCCCCAAAUCUCAGGACCCCCCCGGUACCCCCAUGACCACUUUGUAACCCCCGAGGUGGGGGGGGGGCCCACAAAGACCUUUUUCCCCCCCUUAACGCUUAGGACCCCCCCCGGUACCCCCAGACCCACAUUGUAACCCCCAGCUGUGUGUGUGGGGGGGUCACAAAGACCCUCCCCCCCCAAAGCUCAGGACCCCCCCGGUACCCCCCAGACCCACUUUGUAACUCCCCAGGUUU
rnacentral:lncRNA from 7 species